rnacentral:rRNA from 1 species
AAUACGAAGGGGACUAGCGUUGUACGGAAUUACUGGGCGUAAAGCGCACGUAGGCGGAUUUGUAAGUCAGGGGUGAAAUCCCGGGGCUCAACCUCGGAACUGCCUUUGAUACUGCAAAUCCCGAGUCCGAUAGAGGUGGGUGGAAUUCCUAGUGUAGAGGUGAAAUUCGUAGAUAUUAGGAAGAACACCGGUGGCGAAGGCGGCCCACUGGAUCGGUACUGACGCUGAGGUGCGAAAGCGUGGGGAGCAAACAGGA